rnacentral:rRNA from 1 species
UGGGGAAUUUUGGACAAUGGGGGCAAUCCUGAUCCAGCAAUGCCGCGUGAGUGAAGAAGGCCUUCGGGUUGUAAAGCUCUUUUGUCAGGGAAGAAACGGUAGUAGCGAAUAACUAUUACUAAUGACGGUACCUGAAGAAUAAGCACCGGCUAACUACGUGCCAGCAGCCGCGGUAAUACGUAGGGUGCAAGCGUUAAUCGGAAUUACUGGGCGUAAAGCGUGCGCAGGCGGUUGUGUAAGUCAGAUGUGAAAUCCCCGGGCUCAACCUGGGAAUUGCAUUUGAGACUGCACGGCUAGAGUGUGUCGGAGGGGGGUAGAAUUCCACGUGUAGCAGUGAAAUGCGUAGAUAUGUGGAGGAAUACCGAUGGCGAAGGCAGCCCCCUGGGAUAACACUGACGCUCAUGCACGAAAGCGUGGGGAGCAAACAGGAUUAGAUACCCCUGUAGUCCCUGAGCGGGCUGGCAAGGCGCAU